AAUGUGCUCCACAAGCCCGCUAAGCUUGACCACUGGCAUUAACCUACCAUGCACAUU
rnacentral:tRNA from 1 species